GACGAACGCUGGCGGCGCGCCUAACACAUGCAAGUCGAACGGAGUUCCCUUCGGGGGAGGCUUAGUGGCGGACGGGUGAGUAACACGUGAGGAACCUGCCUUUGAGAGCGGGAUACCGUCUGGAAACGGACGUUAAUACCGCAUAAUGCAGCGAGGCCACAUGGCCAUGCUGCCAAAGAUUUAUCGCUCAAAGAUGGCCUCGCGCCUGAUUAGAUAGUUGGCGGGGUAACGGCCCACCAAGUCUGCGAUCAGUAGCCGGACUGAGAGGUCGAACGGCCACAUUGGGACUGAGAUACGGCCCAGACUCCUACGGGAGGCAGCAGUGGGGGAUAUUGCACAAUGGGCGAAAGCCUGAUGCAGCGACGCCGCGUGAGGGAAGACGGUUUUCGGAUUGUAAACCUCUGUCUUCGGGGACGAAACAAGACGGUACCCGAGGAGGAAGCCACGGCUAACUACGUG
rnacentral:rRNA from 1 species